rfam:Sphaerobolus stellatus SS14 unplaced genomic scaffold SPHSTscaffold_4, whole genome shotgun sequence.
GGCAUCAUGACCGAGUGGUUAAGGUGUCAGAUUUGAAUAUCUCAUUAUCUGAUCCUCUUUGAGGGCGCAGGUUCAAAUCCUGCUGAUGUCG